GUCUAUGGCCAUACCACCCUGAAUGCACCUGAUCUCAUGUGAUCUCGGAAGCUAAGCAGGGUGAGGCCUGAUUAGUACUUGGAUAGGAAGAAUGCCGAUUCUAAAGUAGGAUAAGGAAACAUGAGCAACAAUAGUAA
ensembl:rRNA 5S_rRNA 5S ribosomal RNA